AACGAACGCUGGCGGCAGGCUUAACACAUGCAAGUCGAGCGCCCCGCAAGGGGAGCGGCAGACGGGUGAGUAACGCGUGGGAAUCUACCGAGCCCUACGGAAUAGCUCCGGGAAACUAGAAUUAAUACCGUAUACGCCCUUCGGGGGAAAGAUUUAUCGGGGUUUGAUGAGCCCGCGUUGGAUUAGCUAGUUGGUGGGGUAAAGGCCUACCAAGGCGACGAUCCAUAGCUGGUCUGAGAGGAUGAUCAGCCACAUUGGGACUGAGACACGGCCCAAACUCCUACGGGAGGCAGCAGUGGGGAAUAUUGGACAAUGGGCGCAAGCCUGAUCCAGCCAUGCCGCGUGAGUGAUGAAGGCCCUAGGGUUGUAAAGCUCUUUCACCGGUGAAGAUAAUGACGGUAACCGGAGAAGAAGCCCCGGCUAACUUCGUGCCAGCCGCCGCCGUAA
rnacentral:rRNA from 1 species